rnacentral:misc_RNA from 1 species
AAAAAAUAUAAUAUAAAAAAUGGGUGAAAGGGUUGCCAUCGCGUGGGCGAUAUUUUUCUAAGUGCGGGAAUCGAUAGUAGCUUUAAAGUAUGGCAACUCCCCCACCCUAUUUAUUCUAGUGCAUUUAGUUGAAUUGAACGUGUUGAAUUGCAUUUUAACAAAAGAAAUAAUCAACAAGGAGUGAUUUUUCCACCUACGACGACUUCAUUAGGGCCAUCCGGGAUGGAAUAAGGAGAGCCAAAAAUAAAAAUUAUAAGGAAAAAUCCAAAAAAAACAAAGAAAAUUCCCCGCCAUUACUUGACAAUUUAAAUUAAGCAGAAUGUUUAAAUAUUGUUUACUUUUAUUUUUAAUUUUUAGUUUUAAUUUGUAGUUUCAAUUUUUAGUUUUAAUUUUUAGUUUUAAUUUUAGCAGUGUAUUAAUUAACAGUGUAACUUAUAUUUAAUUUUAAUUUAAUAAAAUAAAAACGAAUAAAAGCAAAAAAAAAAGCAAAAGCAAAAAAAAUUUUUUCUUGAAUAAAAAUUUCCCUUGUCGCCUUUCGGUCACUUUUUCUCGAGCAAGGCUGCGUACGGUGUGCAUCCUGAGUGCAUCUUUUUCUCGUCGCGAGACGCGCAAGUUUUGAUGCACGUGCUGAAUUUCCCGGCCACGCUAAUGUAAUUUGGAAUGAUGCGUUUCCUAUGUUGGGAGUGCGCGGCGCACGUCAAUGCUGCACGCUUUCAGCAAGAAAGCGUGCACCAGGUCCGACUGGGCAGUUAUGCACAUAUCAGUUAUGCACAUAUAUGCCAUGCUAUAUUUGAAUCAACAAGGAGUGAUUUUUCCACCUACGACGACUUCAUUAGGGCCAUCCGGGAUGGAAUAAGGAGAGCCAAAAAUAAAAAUUAUAAGGAAAAAUCCAAAAAAAACUAAGAAAAUUCCCCGCCAUUACUUGACAAUUUAAAUUAAGCAGAAUGUUUAAAUAUUGUUUACUUUU